rnacentral:rRNA from 1 species
GACGAACGCUGGCGGCGUGCUUAACACAUGCAAGUCGAACGGAAAGGCCCUGCUUGUGUGGGGGGCUCGAGUGGCGAACGGGUGAGUAACACGUGAGUAACCUGCCCUUGACUUUGGGAUAACUUCAGGAAACUGGGGCUAAUACCGGAUAGGAGCUCCUGCUGCAGGGUGGGGGUUGGAAAGUUUCGGCGGGUGGGGAUGGACUCGCGGCUUAUCAGCUUGUUGGGGGGGUAGUGGCUUACCAAGGCUUUGACGGGUAGCCGGCCUGAGAGGGUGACCGGCCCCCAUGGGACUGAGAUACGCCCCAGACUCCUACGGGAGGCAGCAGUGGGGAAUAUUGCACAAUGGGCGGAAGCCUGAUGCAGCAACGCCGCGUGCGGGAUGACCGCCUUCGGGUUGUAAACCGCUUUCGCCUGUGACGACGCGUGAGUGACGGUAAUGGAUAAAGAAGCACCGGCUAACUACGUG